UAUUUAUGGUCCCCAGGUCUCGCGUUGGCAGGCAGUCGGUACUUUCCGUCAAGAAGCGCGCGGGGCUCGGACAGGGCCCAUACUUUUGGACCGGUCUUGGGG
rnacentral:sRNA from 1 species